CUCUGCAGGUCCUGACUCCAGCCUGAGCCUGAGCCUGCCCCUGCCACUCGACGUGCCCUCCUUGCUCUCCCAUCCCUCCUUCCUCAUCACCACUGGAUCCAGCACCGGCUACAGCAUGGUCCCCUCCCCGCCCUCCUACCACAAACUGCUGAUUCCCCACCACCCCAUUCCCACCACACACAGGGACGACCCAACGCCCUCCACCUCUCGCAGCCACCCCUCACCUCUGGCCACCUUCCACACCUCUUGGCCAAAGUGGGCCCACACCUGAUGCCUCCAACAGCCCGAUGCCCCCCUCGUGUCACGGUAGCAGUGGCAUCGGCCUCGUGCUCUUCGGUGCGGGGCUUGUGAGCAAAGCCUUGUUGCAAAGCCUGCUGGAGGAGACGGGCUGCUGCCUGCUGUACGUGGUGGAGGAUCGGCCAGAGGAGGUGGAACGUGCCUUUGGCGCCGAGGUCCCGGCCAGCACCAGGGUGCUGCGGCAGCAGGACACCGCUGUCGCGCUCGGUGAUCCGCGAGUCUCUGGAGCCAUUAUUUGUUCCCCACCUGAUGAAGCCCCUGAGAUGGUAAGAGAUGCCUUACGAGCAGGUAAAGGUGUGUUCUGCGAGGGGCUGCCCAGCUUGGACAGACAGACAGCAGAAGCCUGUUUUGAUGAGGCCAGCAGGUGUGGGAGGCCACUUGUGUGUGGGUUCUACAAGCGCUUUGACCCAGCCCUGCAGUUCUUGUACAGGAAGGUGCGGGGCAGCCAGGCGCUGGGCAGGAUCCACCGGAUAUCCACCAUCAGCAGCCUCUAUCCAGCAGCCUCUCUGAGCCUGCUGAAAGCCUCAGGUGGCAUUUUUUACAACGCUGCUGUGCAUGACAUAGAUAUUAUCAGUUUGUUGUUGGGAGAGAGUGUGCCAGAUACAGUAUUUUCCCUGGGCCAUGCCUUCUGUGCAGACAUGGGCUGCCUGAGGGACGUGGACACGGUCGCCAUCAGCAUGAAGUUCCCCAGCGGGGCCAUUGUCACUCUGGAUGUCAGCCAGCACUGCACCAGGAGCUGUGACCAGCGGCUGGAGGUUCAUGGGUCUCAAGGGACAUUAAGGGUGGACAACCAGAACCCCCUGGGCAUCACAGAGCAUGGGACUUCUGUGUCCAUCUGUCCCCAGACCCAAGCUGAGCGCUACAGAGAUGCAUGCAGGGAGCUCUUCUGGCACUUUCUGAGAAGCCUGAAAGGCCAGGAGCACCCCAUGGUCACCAAGGAGCAGUUCCUUUGGACGAUCCAGGUCACUGCAGCGGCUGAGCAGUCCUGGAGGAACAGAUCUGCUGUGGAUUUGCACAGCAGUGCCACAGAUCUGGCUGGAGUCAAGGCUGAGCUCGUGUGACAGCCACUCAGCUGGAUCACGGGGAGGAUUUCUCACCCAGUGCCUCAACAGAAGCCUGGAUGGCAGUUUUGAUGUUCCCACUGGGAAUGUCCAGCAGACAGAGGCACUUCUGAACCAGGAGCACUCAGUGCAGGGGCAGUGCAGGGUUCCUACCGCAUCAGCCAGAGCCUGCAAGAAAUUCUGUGUGGUUUCAUCCAGGUGGAUUUUCCUCCUAGAGAGUGCUGCUGGCCGUGGAACUCUGCUUUCCUGGGAGAAGAGUGAUGUUCCUUGGGCUAGGCAAGGUGGUGUAGGAUCACCAAUAGGUGGGAUGAGGGAGAAGUCUCCCUUUGGAGAGGGAACAGCCACUGCCUGCCUGGAGAAGUCACAAGCUGGGAAGGCAGCUGGGAAGGCAGGCGCCUUCCCAGCAGUGUCACAAGUGAGGUGAUGUAAUGCUCAAAAAACACAAGAGCAUCUGGUCUGUGAAUAUGGAUAUAUGGAAGAAAUUCUUCCCUUUGAGGGUGGUGAGGGGCUGGAGUGGAUUUCUCUGAGAAACUGUGGCUGCCCCAUUCCUGGAAGUGUUCAAGGCCACUUUGGACAGGGCUUGGAGCAAGGUGGGAUAGUGAAAGGUGUCCCUGCCCAUGGCAGGGGGUGGGAUGGGACGAGCUUUAAGGUUCCUUCCAAACAAACCAAUCGGGAUUCCACGAUCCUGUUUAGGACACAGGCCCCAGCAGAAGGCAGAGCCACAGGCCAGUCAGUGUUUCUGCCAGGAGCUUUGGACCUUUGUCAUGUGUGGAGCUCUCUGCAGGUGUGUGGCUCUGACUGUUCCUGUAUGCCUGUCACAUGCCAGUUUUCAAGAUCUUUUGAAACCUUUUUUAUUUUGUAUUUUUACUGAAUUACAACAACAUUCUUGAUGUCUUUCAUUUCAAGGCAUUAUUUUAUAAACUUCUUGCAAGGACUUCUUUAGUUCAAUCAAUUUCCAGUUCCUACCUAUGGAAUAUAUACUCCUAAAACUAGAAAUAGU
rnacentral:lncRNA from 1 species